AAUGAACGCUGGCGGCAUGCCUAACACAUGCAAGUCGAACGAAGGCUUCGGCCUUAGUGGCGCACGGGUGCGUAACGCGUGGGAAUCUGCCCUUGGGUUCGGAAUAACAGUUAGAAAUGACUGCUAAUACCGGAUGAUGUCGUAAGACCAAAGAUUUAUCGCCCAAGGAUGAGCCCGCGUAGGAUUAGCUAGUUGGCGGGGUAAAGGCCCACCAAGGCGACGAUCCUUAGCUGGUCUGAGAGGAUGAUCAGCCACACUGGGACUGAGACACGGCCCAGACUCCUACGGGAGGCAGCAGUGGGGAAUAUUGGACAAUGGGCGAAAGCCUGAUCCAGCAAUGCCGCGUGAGUGAUGAAGGCCUUAGGGUUGUAAAGCUCUUUUACCCGGGAUGAUAAUGACGGUACCGGGAGAAUAAGCUCCGGCUAACUUCGUGCCAGCAGCCGCCGCCG
rnacentral:rRNA from 1 species